GUACUAAUGAAGAGUCCCAAACUAGAACGAAACGGCUGUCCAAUAC
rnacentral:hammerhead_ribozyme from 1 species